CUUUUCUUCGUCCUCUUCCCUUUCUUCAACAAUGACUGCCUCUUCUUAACACACCAACCCCUCAGAGCAAGAUGCUUCUGCUAACACUGGAAGAAGCACACCACUACCAACACCAAUCGUGUCCUCAACGAGGAUAAAUCAAGGCCUUGAGCUACUCUCCGUUCUUGGGCAUGUAAAGGAAUGCAAGAAAGUAUGGGAGACCCAGUUUCAAUUUUCAGUUGUUCCCAUCAAGAUUUCUCAUCAAGGGGAAAAUGAAGACUGGGACGAUGAUGAUCAGGGGUCUUCGAAGAAGACCUCUCGAAAGUGAAAAACUUCCUCUUAGAGCAGCACAAGACAACAGGGAUCGAAAAAGACCAGUAAAACCAAGAUUGAUGAUCAAUUAGGCUUCCACCAAAACCACCAAAAUUACAACAACCAUCCAAGUCUACCACCUCCAAACCAUUGAAGAUUGAUAUCUCAAAGGGAUUGGAUGAUUUUGAUAAGGAUGUGCCUGUUAGUUCCUCUUUCAAAGCUACUUCUGCUGCUACCCCAAAGCAAAAGGUUGACAAAAUAGUGGAUCUUUCAUCAUCUCAGGAUUCCUCUCAAAGCGAUGAUAAUGGGAAAAUCAAGAUACCUCUGCUGUCAGUUCGAGUGCCAAGAGUGUAAAUAAAGAAACAAUUGAUAUACCAGUUUUGAUGAUGGAUGCUCAUAAUGCUAGAGAAGCUGAAGAUCUAGAAGAUCAAGAUGUUCCAAGCCAUAAUGCUUCUUCUCCCUCAAGGCAACAUCAAUUCCAGAGCCCAUAAUCGAAAAGAAUGCCAUUGAGGUGGAUUCUACACUUGAUGAUCUUCUGAACAUUGAAACUGAACAUAACCCUCUAACUGUAGAAGAACAAGUUAGGGUCGAAGCUGUUAUUGAUACCUCUGCUCCCAUGCUAGUUGUUGAGACAAGUGAGCCCAUACUUGAACAAUGUAAUAACAAGGAUCCCUUAUUUUCUUCAACUUGUUUUGACUAAUGUUUUGAGGAAUUGAAUACAUACAUGAUGACCUGUUGAACAUUUGCCAAUUUCGAUGGUAGACAUGUUGGUGUUUUGAGGAAUUAAGUGAUUGUGUAUCAAUUCCCCGAAAUUGGCAGUCAACGGUGUAUAAAUUUACAAUACUAACAAUUGAAUUACAUGAUUUCAAAAUGUGUACAAAGGCAUUCGUAUAUA